rnacentral:rRNA from 1 species
GACGAACGCUGGCGGCGUGCUUAACACAUGCAAGUCGAACGAAGUGGCGAACGGGUGAGUAACGCGUAAUCAACCUGCCCUUCAGAGGGGGACACAAGUUGGAAACGAAUGCUAAUACCGCAUACUGAAGGAGGGGAUGGCGUCUGAUUUGCUAGUUGGGGGGGUAACGGCCCACCAAGGCGAUGAUCAGUAGCCGGUCUGGGAGGUUGACGGGCAAAUUGGGAACUGAGACAGGGCCAGACUCCUACGGGAGGCAGCAGGGGGGAAUCUUCCGAAAAGGACGGAAGUCUGGCGGAGCAACGGCGCGGGAGAGAUGACGGGCUUCUGGUUGGAAAGCUCUGUUAAGCGGGACGCGGUACCGGAAUAGAAAGCCACGGCUAACUACGUGCCAGCAGCCGCGGUAAUUC